rnacentral:rRNA from 1 species
CGAAGUAGUUUGAGCUAAGUAUUUGCUAUUGAUUAGGAUUUCUACCUGCAUGUGGUAAAAUGCACUGCAUAGCGUUAUUUAGGGGUGAUAGGCCUUUCAAGAACUAGGAUAUCUUGAUAUUAUUUAAAAGUGUGUAGCACUAAGACAAGUAUAAAGUGAUCAGGCUUUGUAUAUAUAUAAAAUUUUAUAUUAAACUAUGAAUGGCAUAAUGGUCAACUUUCAUAUUAUACUAGUACUAAUAUAUUGUAGUAUUAUAUAUAAUUAAAUAUUUAUACCUAAAUUUAUAAAAGUAUUUAUAAUGUUAAUAUUAGUGAAAUAUAUAGGCGUUUUUAAUGAACUCGGCAAAUAUAGUUCUCAACUGUUUAUCAAAAACAUAACUAUAUGGAUUUAUAUAUAGCUAUUUCUGCUCAAUGAUAUAUUAAAUAGCCGCAGUAAUUUGACUGUGCAAAGGUAGCAUAAUCAAUUGACUUAUAAUUGAAGUCUGGAAUGAAAGAAUAUAUUGGGGACUAACUGUAUCAAUUACGCAAAUUAAAGUUACUUAUAGGGUGAAAAUUCCCUAAUAUAAAUAAUAGACGAGAAGACCCUAGAAAUUUUUAUAAUUGAGUUAUCUCAUUGAUUUUUGUUGGGGCGACAUAGUAGCAUUGAACCUACUUUAUAUAAUUAGAUUAUAUUAAUACGUUAAAUUAAAUUACUCUAGGGAUAACAGCAUAAUAUUUAAAAGUUUGUGACCUCGAUGUUGGACUAGGAAAUAAUAAUCUAGAAGGUAAAUUAUUAUGCUCUGUU